AAACUACUCCCUCCGUCCGAAAACACUUCUCAUCAAAAUGGAUAAAAAGGGAUGCAUCUAGAACUAAAAUACGUUUAGAUACAUCUUCUUUUAUUCAUUUUGAUGACAAGUAUUUCCAGACGGAGAGAGUAUAAG
rfam:Triticum urartu cultivar G1812 contig1058414, whole genome shotgun sequence.